rnacentral:rRNA from 1 species
AGUGAACGCUGGCGGCAGGCCUAAUACAUGCAAGUCGAACGGCAGCACAGUGGUGCUUGCUCCAUGGGUGGCGAGUGGCGGACGGGUGAGGCAUACAUGGGAAUCUGCCCAGUCGUGGGGGAUAACGUAGGGAAACUUACGCUAAUACCGCAUGCGCCCUUCGGGGGAAAGCCGGGGACCUUCGGGCCUGGCGCGAUUGGAUGAGCCCAUGUUCGAUUAUCUAGCUGGCGGGGUAAAGGCCCACCAAGGCGACGAUCGAUAUCUGGUCUGAGAGGAUGAUCAUCCACACUGGGACUGAGACACGGCCCAGACUCCUACGGAGGGUACCAGUAGGGAAUAUUAGACAAUGGGCGCAAGCCUGAACCAGCCAUACCGCGUGGGUGAAGAAGGCCAUCGGGUUGUAAAACUCUUUUUUCCGGGAAGAAAAGCAUCGCGCUAAUACCUCGGUGUUCUGACGGUACCGUAAGAAUAAGCACCGGCUAACUUCGUG